UUAACACAUGCAAGUCGAGGGGCAGCAUGGUCUUAGCUUGCUAAGGCCGAUGGCGACCGGCGCACGGGUGAGUAACACGUAUCCAACCUGCCGUCUACUCUUGGACAGCCUUCUGAAAGGAAGAUUAAUACAAGAUGGCAUCAUGAGUCCGCAUGUUCACAUGAUUAAAGGUAUUCCGGUAGACGAUGGGGAUGCGUUCCAUUAGAUAGUAGGCGGGGUAACGGCCCACCUAGUCUUCGAUGGAUAGGGGUUCUGAGAGGAAGGUCCCCCACAUUGGAACUGAGACACGGUCCAAACUCCUACGGGAGGCAGCAGUGAGGAAUAUUGGUCAAUGGGCGAGAGCCUGAACCAGCCAAGUAGCGUGAAGGAUGACUGCCCUAUGGGUUGUAAACUUCUUUUAUAAAGGAAUAAAGUCGGGUAUGGAUACCCGUUUGCAUGUACUUUAUGAAUAAGGAUCGGCUAACUCCGUGCCAGCAGCCGCGGUAAUACGGAGGAUCCGAGCGUUAUCCGGAUUUAUUGGGUUUAAAGGGAGCGUAGAUGGAUGUUUAAGUCAGUUGUGAAAGUUUGCGGCUCAACCGUAAAAUUGCAGUUGAUACUGGAUAUCUUGAGUGCAGUUGAGGCAGGCGGAAUUCGUGGUGUAGCGGUGAAAUGCUUAGAUAUCACGAAGAACUCCGAUUGCGAAGGCA
rnacentral:rRNA from 1 species